rnacentral:rRNA from 1 species
UACAGAGGGGGCAAGCGUUAUUCGGAAUUAUUGGGCGUAAAGGGCGCGUAGGCGGCAUGGCAAGUGGAUGGUGAAAUCCCUCGGCUUAACCGAGGAACUGCCGUCCAAACUGCUUCGCUUGAGACCGGGAGAGGUGAGUGGAAUUCCCAGUGUAGCGGUGAAAUGCGUAGAUAUUGGGAGGAACACCCAGGGGGAAACCAGCCGGCUGGGGACGUGCUGACGCUCAGGGGCGAAAGCGUGGGGAGCGAACCGG